UAUUUAAAAAGUUCUUGUCACCUAAUCUGCCGCUUUAGCUAUGCCUCACCAACACUGAUGUCAGAGCAACAGAAGAUGUGGAAGCACACGUCCUGUGUCAGACUCCCUUGAUUACCAGAUGUGGCACUUGCUGUCUGGAUUCAUUGGUGAUCUACGGGGGCAGUGGAAGUGUUUUACAAAGUCCUGGUUAUUGCUGACAGGCCCAUAGACACGAAGUGGCAGGGGACUAUGUGGAUCUGUAUCCAAGGAAGACUGUAAAUCCUCAGGAUCCUGGUGUCCACACAUUGCCUGAAGGGAAGCAAAACAGAAAAAAACCGUUCACUCAUUACAACUGUUCAUACAGCAGAGGAGAAGGAUGAAACUCACAUUAUCUACAGUUAAAGUACUGACACUUACAUAUCUUGUGAAUGAUGCUGAAGGAGCUUUGAGAAUGCAUUCUCCCUCAUCCUCUUCAAGCAAGCCACCACAUUUAGGAAAAAAGUGUCUUCAUUUAUCUCUACCUAAGGAAAGAGUAGGGAGAUGUCACCAUCACAGGGAAUGAUCGAGUAAUGAAUUGGAUAGCAAGAGUAAGAGGAAAAUUCCAUAGGCAAAAAAAAAAAUAGUUCAUCAAAAGACAAACUAACGGAACACCUGUUGUGUUAUUGUGUGCUUGUUUGUUUGUUUUCCUUCUCCUGGUUCUAAAGAUACUUCACUUUAAGAUGUGACAGGAAUAUUAUCUGUAGCCAAACAGAAUGUUCAAGCAGAUCACAAUCAAGAGGAGACAACACAGGCAACAACAAACAGUGUAGAAGCAAUAGAUACUGGUUAUUUGGCUUCAUUCUCAGAAAGAGAGCAAUAUGAUAUAUGCAUUGAUUCAGAAGUCAUGAACUCUUUUGGUAGCAAGCAAAAUAUCAGCCAGUGCAGGUAAACUGCUGGUAAGAGGCAGAUAGUUAUAUUAUAUGGCUCACGUUCUGGUAUUCCAGGUUCACUUUGGCAGUCUGGAGUAUGUAAGUUGGAUAGCCAAUUUCCACUUGUAGUUUGGACACCUGAAAUCAUAAUAAAACAACAACAACAACAAAAAAAAAAGGAAGCAUG